rnacentral:rRNA from 1 species
GCCCUUCUCUAAGGAAUAGCCUCUGGAAACGGAGAGUAAUACCUUAUACGCCCUAUGGGGAAAGAUUUAUCGGAGAGGGAUCGGCCCGCGUUAGAUUAGGUAGUUGGUGGGGUAAUGGCCUACCAAGCCUACGAUCUAUAGCUGGUUUUAGAGGAUGAUCAGCAACACUGGGACUGAGACACGGCCCAGACUCCUACGGGAGGCAGCAGUGGGGAAUCUUAGACAAUGGGGGAAACCCUGAUCUAGCCAUGCCGCGUGAGUGACGAAGGCCCUAGGGUCGUAAAGCUCUUUCGCCAGGGAUGAUAAUGACAGUACCUGGUAAAGAAACCCCGGCUAACUCCGUGCCAGCAGCCGCGGUAAUACGGAGGGGGUUAGCGUUGUUCGGAAUUACUGGGCGUAAAGCGCGCGUAGGGGACUAUUAAGUCAGGGGUGAAAUCCCGGGGCUCAACCCCGAACUGCCUCUGAUACUGGUAGUCUUGAGUUCGAGAGAGGUGAGUGGAAUUCCGAGUGUAGAGGUGAAAUUCGUAGAUAUUCGGAGGAACACCAGUGGCGAA